CUGGCUCAGGACGAACGCUGGCGGCGUGCCUAAUACAUGCAAGUCGAGCGAACAGAGAAGGAGCUUGCUCCUUUGACGUUAGCGGCGGACGGGUGAGUAACACGUGGGCAACCUACCUUAUAGUUUGGGAUAACUCCGGGAAACCGGGGCUAAUACCGAAUAAUCUGUUUCACCUCAUGGUGAAAUACUGAAAGACGGUUUCGGCUGUCGCUAUAGGAUGGGCCCGCGGCGCAUUAGCUAGUUGGUGAGGUAACGGCUCA
rnacentral:rRNA from 1 species